rnacentral:rRNA from 1 species
CGUCACAGCUGCACGCUAUUAACGUACAACCUUUCUUCCCAAUUGAAAGUGCUUUACAACCCUAAGGCCUUCUUCACACACGCGGCAUGGCUGCGUCAGGGUUUCCCCCAUUGCGCAAUAUUCCCCA